rnacentral:rRNA from 1 species
AUUGAACGCUGGCGGCAGGCCUAACACAUGCAAGUCGAGCGGGGUUUUCGGACCUAGCGGCGGACGGGUGAGUAAUGCGUAGGAAGCUGCCCGAUAGAGGGGGAUACCAGUUGGAAACGACUGUUAAUACCGCAUAAUGUCUACGGACCAAAGUGUGGGACCUUCGGGCCACAUGCUAUCGGAUGCGCCUACGUGGGAUUAGCUAGUUGGUGAGGUAAUGGCUCACCAAGGCGACGAUCUCUAGCUGGUUUGAGAGGAUGAUCAGCCACACUGGAACUGAGACACGGACCAGACACCUACGGGAGGCAGCAGUGGGGAAAAUUGGACAAUGGGCGCAAGCCUGAUCCAGCCAUGCCGCGUGUGUGAAGAAGGCCUUCGGGUUGUAAAGCACUUUCAGCGAGGAGGAAGGGGUGUGUGUUAAUAGUACACACCUUUGACGUUACUCGCAGAAGAAGCACCGGCUAACUCUGUGCCAGCCGCCGCCGUAACAC